rnacentral:rRNA from 2 species
ACACGUGCUACAAUGGACAAUACAAAGGGCAGCGAAACCGCGAGGUCAAGCAAAUCCCAUAAAGUUGUUCUCAGUUCGGAUUGUAGUCUGCAACUCGACUAUAUGAAGCUGGAAUCGCUAGUAAUCGUAGAUCAGCAUGCUACGGUGAAUACGUUCCCGGGUCUUGUACACACCGCCCGUCACACCACGAGAGUUUGUAACACCCGAAGCCGGUGGAGUAACCAUUUGGAGCUAGCCGUCGAAGGUGGGACAAAUGAUUGGGGUGAAGUCGUAACAAGGUAGCCGUAUCGGAAGGUGCGGCUGGAUCACCUCCUUUCUAAGGA